rfam:Heligmosomoides polygyrus genome assembly, scaffold: HPBE_scaffold0006027
GCGUCGGUGGUGUAAUGGCGUAGAGCAUUCCCGCCCGGUCAGGGGGAGGUGCGGGUUCGAGUCCCGCCUGGCGCU